AGAUCCCCAGAACACACACUGCCGUGAAGACGCCCAGCUACCCAGGGUCCAUGCUGGAAGAGACACCAAGAGAUUGCCAGGAUCUGCCAGUAUAGAAAAAUAACAGAGCCCCAGGCCUGGAAGAGACUUCUUAGGUCCUGAGGGCUCGGAAGGACAUGCCAGUGAGCCCAAGGCUGAAUAUGAUCAUGGGACUCCCCCUGCCUCUGGAAGAGACGCAUGAGGAAACGGAGGGUCUGCGGGUGGGUCACGGGACAGGGUAAUGCAAUUUAGGAAGAUUUUCCAAGUGGCCUCAGCUUGACCACUUCCUCUUGUCUCUGAGCCUUGGGGCUCAAGGCAGCCUUUUAAGCCAGGUGGUGGGAGAGCAGCUGAGCUCUGUCAGUCACCCCACUGCCCCCUAUGGGUAUGCCCUGCUCCCCAACUCUGGCCCCUGAAUCCCUUUAGUCCACUAAGAAUAAACAUACUACUUUAUGAAAAAUGCCAAAGCCCCACCUCAUGGAAAACGCUGCUCAUGACGCGUGCCCUCGCCUCAUCCAGCUCCUUUCACCCACAGCCCAUCACCCUCUACAGAGCUCAGCCACACAAGGAAUGUGAAACACAAUUUAUUCUUUGUGGAAAGGUUGAACAAGGUCAAAAUUGUCCUUAGAGGGCACCGACCCAGCCCCGCCCUGCAGGUUCCUGGGGUCAGACGCCUCUGCCCCCCCACCCCCACCCCUCCCCAUGCCCAUUGUUAACAAAAAGAAACGAUUUGAAUGGAAUUCAUAUAUAAUAAUUAUAAUAAAAAUAUACAUUAAACAAAACAAAAAAACGAACAAGACAGAAAUCUAGCUGAACUGCCAGCACCGUUCACCCCAUUUCCCCCACCCUGUGCCCCACCCCCCCUGACAUCCCUCUCCUUUUGCUCCCUCCACUGGGUCUCACUCUCCCAAGUCCCCGGUACCAUGGCCACCACCUUUGGUGGCCCAAGGAGACUUCAAUGGGUGGGCUGGGUGGGUGGGGCUGUGAGAGGGCAGGCCACUGGUGAGACAGGCUUGAGGGGUGCUGGCACCAGGGAAGCGCGGGCCCAGCCUAAGCGAGCCCCAGCUCCUGCCCCUCACUGAGGUGGUGAGCAGGCCGGGACAGCGCAGCCAGCCAGGCCCUGUGGCCUCUCAUGAAGCCCCUCAUUCCUCGUUUGUGUCCCUUCUCUGCUCCUUUCUCUGGGCUGCCCCACCCUUCCCCUCCAUGCUGCCUGGGCAGCAAGGACAGGGACGAGAAGGAGCAAGUGUGCCUUCCUCAGGGCCCUUCCUGAGAGCUCCACAGCCCACCCUGUGGCCCCUGCUUGGCUUGGCCUGCCCGGCCCCAGCCUUCCAAUGCUGCUGCACUCCUCAUUUUCCGUUUUGGGCCCAUCCUGCCCUCUCUGGCUGCUCUGCCUUCGGGCCUCAGCCCCAGCUGCCUGAGUUUGGGCAAGGUUCUUUCUCUGUGGCCUUCAGGCUCACCCCCAGGGCUCUGACCCGGGCCUCUCCCGCUGGCCCCACUCUACCUGACAGCUGCACCCCUGGUUUCAGCUUUUCUAACUGUGAAAGCCCCAUCCAAGGCUAACAUUCGAGAGGCAUAGGGCUGCUAAGGGUUUCUUCUGUCCCUUUAGUCCCCAACGGCUCAGGCUCCUUCCUUGGAAGUUCCCUGGGGUAGGUGAGGCAGAGGCAGAUCUCCGAGAAACUUGACUGACUAAGCAAGGAAGACCCUCUCUGAGUUUUCCUCCCAAGGUCUUAGGGUGGCUGGGCAGUCCCCACCCCCGCACACUGUCUCAGGGUCUCUACCCCCAACAAGAUUAGAUUCCUUUUAGCCAGAAAGAGUAGUGAGAGGCUGCCAAUUGGGUACACCUGGGGCUUUCAGGGCUGGAGUGCCCAGAGCCUCCUGAGGUCAGAGUUCAGAGGUUAAGGUAUGUCAGGGGAUGGAAAAGGAGCAGAUGACCCCAUUUGACCUUUACCAGCGAGGUCUGAGGGUCCUGCCUUCAAGUGCAGAGCCCCCAACACAUUCAGAUGGGGCU